rnacentral:rRNA from 1 species
UACGUAGGAGGCAAGCGUUGUCCGGAGUUACUGGGCGUAAAGCGCAUGCAGGCGGUCAGUUAAGUCCAGCAUGACAGUUCCCGGCUCAACUGGGGAAGUGUGAUGGAAACUGGUUGACUUGAGGGCUUCAGAGGGAUGUGGAACUCCAGGUGGAGUGGUGAAAUGCGUAGAUAUCUGGAAGAACACCAAAGGCGAAGGCAGCAUCCUGGGAAGUACCUGACGCUCAGAUGCGAAAGCUAGGGGAG